AUGGUAGCCAGUGCCGCCGUUGACAGUGGAAAACUCCAUCGUUCCCGUGUCCAGCACAAUCAACGUGUCCGGCAAUGCCGAUGCCGAUGCCGAUGCCGAGUAGAAGCAACUGCGUCCCGAGAAAGGCAGGCAUUCCCAGCCAUGGCCUUUACGGUGAACCCCCAAAGAGGUCCAGCUGGUAGAUGCGGCCAUACACCAUCCUCGAGUGACGGAAGAGAAGACGAACGCAACAAGCUUGGUUUCAUAGUGAGCAAAGCAUAUCACGUUGAACGAGGUCCCAUGAUCCUCGUCGUCCUCGCCGAUGGGGGCCAGCAUGUGCCGGAGUUCAGGAGGGCGCUUCUCCUCGUCCUCAAGCAUCAUGUCAUCGGGAAUGGACGGGAGCAAGACGUAGCGCCUCGACAAAGGAUCGCACACCGCGAAGCUUUUGAAUGUCUCCCCAAGUGGCCUGCUGUCGAGGAGGACGCGGCCGUCGCGGAGGUCGCGGGGGAACCAGGGGCUGCCGUUGGUGGGCACGGGGACGAAGGAGUAGGUGAAGUCAGCCGCGUCGACGAGCGCGCGGGCGAACCGGACCGAUGGGUGGGGCGCCUGGGCCGGGCGGAAGCCACCUUUGGCGGCGAACCCGAGGAGCGGCGGCGGGUGGCGCUUGCGGAAGCGGCGGAGGAAGGACCUGUCGGUGAUGACACGGCGGAAACGGGGGCAGGCGGUCGAGGCGCGGGCGAGCGCGGCCGGGGUGGGCAGGCGGAGGAAAAUCUCCUCCAGCACGUCGUCGACGAGGUGCGGCAGCGACGAGGACAUGGCCGCCGAAGACGAAGCCGGCUCGGGGGACUGCGCCGCGACCUCCUCGCACACAGGGCGACACCACUCGUCGUCGUCGGGAUCGAGGCAAACGAGCUGUCCCCCGUCGCAGUCGAUCCGGCGCUGCGGCAAACAAGAUAG
rnacentral:rRNA from 1 species